AGAGUUUGAUCAUGGCUCAGAAUCAACGCUGGCGGCGCGCUUAACACAUGCAAGUCGAGCGAGAAAGUGGAGCAAUCCAUGAGUACAGCGGCGUACGGGUGAGUAACACGUGGGUGAUCUGCCUCUUAGUGGGGAAUAACCCUGGGAAACCGGGGCUAAUACCGCAUAAUCCUGUGAAGGGAAAGCAGCAAUGCGCUGAGAGAGGAGCCCGCGGCCGAUUAGCUAGUUGGUGAGGUAACGGCCCACCAAGGCGACGAUCGGUAGCCGGCCUGAGAGGGCACACGGCCACACUGGCACUGAAACACGGGCCAGACUCCUACGGGAGGCAGCAGUGGGGAAUCUUGCACAAUGGAGGCAACUCUGAUGCAGCGACGCCGCGUGAGCGAUGAAGCCCUUCGGGGUGUAAAGCUCUUUCGGCAGGGACGAUAAUGACGGUACCUGAAGAAGAAGCUGCGGCUAACUACGUGCCAGCAGCCGCGGUAAUACGUAGGCAGCGAGCGUUGUUCGGAAUUACUGGGCGUAAAGAGUGUGUAGGCGGUGCUCUAAGUUCGGUGUGAAAUCUCCUGGCUUAACUGGGAGGGUGCGCCGGAAACUGGAGUGCUCGAGCGUGGGAGAGGAAAGCGGAAUUCCUGGUGUAGCGGUGAAAUGCGUAGAUAUCAGGAGGAACACCUGCGGUGUAGACGGCUUUCUGGACCAUUGCUGACGCUGAGACACGAAAGCGUGGGUAGCAAACAGGAUUAGAUACCCCCGUAGUCC
rnacentral:rRNA from 1 species